rnacentral:tRNA from 1 species
GGGUUAGAAGCACAUAUGGUAUGUGCGGUCGCCUGUUAAGCGAAUGGUAGAAGGUUCGAGUCCUUCCUGGCCCG